GAGAGAGAGAGAGAGCGUCCCAUUUCGCGUCCGUCGAGCGCACACAACAGCACCUUCCUCUCGUCCCCUCGGCCGUCCGCGACAUGGGAGUGGUGAUCGAGAGCGAUCGAUGGGAGCCGAAGCCCUCCGCCUUCAUCGUCCUCUCCGCCGCCUGCUUCGCUUCCGUCUUUCUGCGCCCUUACUUCUCCAAGAGCAACGCCGCCAGGGGAUCCGGGGCGUCUUCUCUGCUCGAUCUCGGCCCUACGGCCCCUUUUCUUCGCUUCCAGAGGGGCUUCUUGCUGCUCUACUCGCUGGCUUCCGUAAUGGACGGCCUUGAAUCGAUGUUUGGUGAGUAUGAGUUCGCACUAUACGGAAUCAGCCGUGAGCAGAUGACAUGGUAUCUCUCCAUAGGAGCUGUGGCUGCUCUCGUUUUUGGUACUUUCUCCGGCGUUCUUUUUGAUAUGGUGGGUCCAAGAAAGGCUUGUCUGUUAUUUUGCAUUCUUCAUCUUUUUGUUGGUGUCUUGAAGAGUGUGGUCAGGCAUCCAACUGUCUGGAUAUCAAGUAUAUGCUUAUCACUUGCUUCUUCUUUGUUCUCAUUCUGUUAUGAGACAUGGAUGGUAAUGGAACAUGAAAAGCAAGGUCACAAGCAAGAUCUUCUGAGUGAUACAUUUUGGUUGAUGACCUUUUUUGAGUCUCUAUCUCUAAUCGGCAGCCAAGGGCUGGCAAAUUUGUUAGUUAAAGAUCUUAAAAGAAGAUCCCUUUCCCCUUAUGUUCUGGCUGCCUUAUUGGCAAUUUUAAGCGCUCUCUGUAUCAGGAAACAAUGGAGCAGAAGUUAUCAUAUAAUUUCUGUUGACAGUUAUAUAAAAUCAUUCUCAGCUCAUGUUCUUAGAGACAAAAAGAUUUUGGCUCUAGCAUGGACUCAAGCAAGUAUCCAUUUCUCCAUGUCAGUUGUUUGGAUCCUUUGGGCACCGACCUUAGUGGCAGAUGGAAGAGAGGUGAAUCUAUCUAUGAUAUACCCAUGCUUUAUUGGCUCAAGAAUGCUCGGGAGCACUGUUUUUCCAUGGUAUUUUAGUGAGGUAAAAUCAUUUGGAAAUGAGGAUUGCCUAACAACCGCUUUGGGGGUUGCUGGUUUAGCUUUGCUCAUUGUCGCUUAUGAUUACCAGGAGAUUGGAUUUCUGGUUAUUCUAUUUUGUGUCUUUCAUGCUUGUGUCGGGUUUAGUUUGCCUUCACUUGCAAGAUUGAGGACAAUGCAGGUACCUACCUAAUGAGCUUCGUGGGGGAAUGAUAAGCUCCUCGCUAGCACCGGCUAAUGUAGCAAUUUUGUUAUUUCUGCUCAAGGGUGGUUAUCAUCAAAAUCUUGCGAAUUCUACAAUUAUGGCUCUUUCUGCUUUUGGCCUAUUAAUUGCUGCUGGCUGCAUUUAUAAACUGAGAUCAUGGCGAAAGCAGUGUCGUCAAGACUGGCAUUAUACAUAACCACAAUAAAAAUAGUCCAAGAGCUAAUCAGGCACAUCUCAGAUAGUCUUUUGUUCUAUGCUCAUAAGCACAGAAAGCCAGGGUUCCUUUCAGUUUGUCGAUUCUUGUAUCUUGCAUUCCUUCAUGGAUCUUGUUGAGGCUGAGACAACCGUAGUAUUGUUUGUUUUAAUCAAUGUUUUGCAGUGAAUUUGAAAGACGUGAGGUGUUGUAGGAAUGGGACUCAGUACCAGUCAAUUUUUGGCAUGUCAGAGGACAAGAAUUUACUAAGAUGAGUCCUAACAUGAUAAAAAAAAAGAAUAAAGCUGUAGAAAGGGCGUUGCAGUUUCUUUCUUCUUCAACAGGAGCCUAUCCUAAGGUAACCCAAGCGGGCACCCCUCUAUUUGUUCCCUCAGUACAAACGUUUUUUUUUUUUGAGCAAGUUUAAUUUCUGUUGAACAACAUUGCAAAGUGACUAUGUUACAUCUCAAGUUAGAAAACGUAUGUUCCAUUACCUAAUUAUCAAAGUAUUCGAAUGAUCGAUC